GGGGAUUUAGCUUAGCAGCAGAGCACCUGCCUGGCAAGUGCGAGGUCCUGAGUUUGAUCCUCAGUACUCCCC
rnacentral:tRNA from 1 species